rnacentral:rRNA from 1 species
CACGUAGGGAGCAAGCGUUGUCCGGAUUUAUUGGGCGUAAAGAGCUCGUAGGUGGUUCAGUAAGUCGGAUGUGAAAACUCAAGGCUCAACCUUGAGACGCCAUCCGAUACUGCUGUGACUUGAGUUCGGUAGAGGAGUGUGGAAUUCCUGGUGUAGCGGUGAAAUGCGCAGAUAUCAGGAGGAACACCGACAGCGAAGGC